rnacentral:rRNA from 1 species
CCGAAUCCCGAAGGCCCAGCCUUCAGGGACAUGUGGUGUUUAGGAGCGCCCAAUUGACCCGCCGUGCGCGCACCGAGUCCAAGUCCAUCUUGAACGGGGCCACGGUCCGUAGAGGGUGCCAGGCCCGUGGAUGACCGGUGCCUGCGGCGGGUGGGCGUCUCCCUAGAGUCGGGCUGCUUGAGAGUGCAGCCCUAAGCGGGUGGUAAACUCCAUCUAAGGCUAAAUACAACCACGAGACCGAUAGAGAACAAGUACCGUGAGGGAAAGUUGAAAAGAACUUUGAAGAGAGAGUUCAAGAGUACGUGAAACCGCUCAGGGGUAAACGGAAAAGACCCGAAGCACCGAAACGGGAGAUUCACGUCUUCUCGCUGGGUUCGCUCCCCGUCGGGGGGAUGGCCUUUCGCCCCGCCCGGUUCGUCCGUGGCGGCGGGUGGGCCGCCCCUCGCAGGGACGACGUUCCCGCGGAGGACCGCACUUCUCCCAUAGUAGGACGUCGCGACCCGCUCAGCGGCGGUCAAAGGUCCGGGCGAACGCCCGGCUCGGGGCCCUCCCUCAGGGGUUGGGUAUCGAGUCGGAUCCCUGGUACCGCGGCCGCCGGUCCGGGCGGUAUCGAAAGACUAAGGCGCUGGGCCGCUCGUUGCGAGCGCCGCUGUCUCCUCCCCGGACCGGGGUUUCGCUCGGGGGUGCCCUAACGGUGCACGCCCGAGUGGGCCCUCGGCUCACCGGGGGGUGACGACUCCGGACGGGCUCAGCACGCCAGUCGGCGGCGCUUCAGAUUCGGGUACUUAUCCGACCCGUCUUGAAACACGGACCAAGGAGUCUAGCGUGUGCGCGAGUCAUUGGGUUGACUAAACCUAAAGGCGCAAUGAAAGUGUCAGGGCGGCCUCCCGCGGGAGGCCCGUCCGCUGGGAGGAUGGGCCGUCGGCAGGCUUGCCUGUCCGGCGCCCCGCACUCCCGGGGCGUCUCGUUCUCUCUACGAGAGUUGAGACGCACCAGGAGCGCACACGCUGGUACCCGAAAGAUGGUGAACUAUGCAUGGCCAGGACGAAGCCAGGGGAAACCCUGGUGGAGGUCCGAAGCGAUUCUGACGUGCAAAUCGAUCGUCUGAGCUGUGUAUAGGGGCGAAAGACCAAUCGAACCAUCUAGUAGCUGGUUCCCUCUGAAGUUUCCCUCAGGAUAGCUGGCUCUCGGGCAGAGACACGAGUCUCAUCCGGUAGAGCGAAUGAUUAGAGGUGAUGGGGUCGAAACGACUUCAACCUAUUCUCAAACUCCCAAUAGAUGAGAGCCCCGGCUUGCUUGAAAGUGAAGCCGUGGGACUCGGAUCAGAGAGGCCAAGUGGGCCAAUUUUGGUAAGCAGAACUGGCGCUGUGGGAUGAACCAAACGCAGAGUUAAGGCGCCUGAUUCGACGCUCACGUGAAACCAUGAAAGGCGUUGGUUGCUUAAGACAGCAGGUCGGUGGCCAUGGAAGUCGGAAUCCGCUAAGGAGUGUGUAACAACUCACCUGCCGAAGCAACUAGCCCUGAAAAUGGAUGGCGCUGUAGCGUCGUGCCUAUACUCUGCCGUCAACGGCAAAGCGGGCGGACCUCGUUUGUUAACGAGGUUCCGCCGUUAGGCCUUGACGAGUAAGAGGGUCGCGGCGGUGAGCGUGGAAGGGUCUGGGCGCGAGCCCGCCUGGAGCCGCCGCCGGUGCAGAUCUUGGUGGUAGUAGCAAAUACUCCAGCGAGGCCCUGGAGGGCUGAUGUGGAGAAGGGUUUCUUGUGAACAGCUGUUGCACAAGAGUCAGUCGAUCCUAAGCCCUAGGAGAAAUCCGAAGAGAAUUGUUGCCGUUAAGUCUGUCUCUGCCUGCGCUUGCGCGCUGUACGGGCGAGGCCGGAUAGGUGCAAGGCGCUUUCGCGCCGCCUCCGGGCGUCGUGGAGCGUCGGGUCACUCUAUCUAGGCCACAGUCUCGCCGUCUGUACUCGCGCCCAGGUCAUUUUUAGAUCGAAGGCACCGUUCGGGCGAAAGGGAAUCCGGUUCCUAUUCCGGAACCCGGCAGCGGAACCGCUCCCAUUCGGGCCCUCAUCCGAGGACUCGUCGGGGUGACCCGAAAUGACCCGGAGAAGCCGUAGGGAGGUCCGGGGAGAGUUGUCUCUUCUCUAUAAGCGUUCGAGUUCCCUGGAAGCCUCUAGGAGGGAGAUAGGGUUUGGAACGCGAAGAGCACCGCACUUACGGCGGUGUCCGGAUCUUCCCCUCGGACCUUGAAAAUCCGGGCGAGGGCCACGGGGAACACCGCGCCGGCUCGUACCCAUAUCCGCAGCAGGUCUCCAAGGUGAAUAGCCUCUAGUCGAUAGAACAAUGUAAGUAAGGGAAGUCGGCAAACCCGAUCUGUAACUUCGGGAUAAGGAUUGGCUCUGAGGAUCGUGGCGCGCCGGGCUUGGUCGGGAAGUGGAGCGGCGCCAACGUGCCGGGCCUGGGCGAGGUGAAGGGCUUUGCGGUCCGGACCCUAGCUCGGUCCCGUGC